rnacentral:tRNA from 1 species
UGGAUGAAUGCUCGUUGGUUGGAGCGCUUAGCUGUUAACUAAGAGUUUGGAGGAUCGAGGCCUUCUCGUCCAG